CUGUGACUUGUUGUGGUGAUUUCCCAAUCGUUGCGACUCGAACACCCCGUAUAUCGUGCAAGUGUAAAUAUACACAAAUAUCGUGCCGUUGGUCGAGUGGUCGAAGUUGGGCGUGCAGUGGAAUGAUGGAAUAUGAAGAAAAAAACAUGAAAUCGGACAAACGAUCCGAUAGAAAGCAUGCAGGUGCUCCGUCGAUGGAAGAGUCGACGACGAUGAAAGAAGGAGGCCGACAGGCGCAAAUAGAGACAGCGGACACAGUGGCUACGAGGGAAUAAAAGCAACAGGACGGGGGAAAAAAAGCAGUCGUUAGACACCUUGCAUACGUGCUUUUGGUCUUUGUCGCGGCUACCAAUUGGUCGGGGACUUACUUGAGUAUGCGCGAAAACAACCAGUCCGAAGAACACUAAUUUUAUGAGCAUUUUCCCGUCGUCGGAGCGCGCGCGCGUUCGAUUUGUCGUCAAAAAAAAAGAAAAAAAGAUAAAAGAUUUUGACAAUGCCAAAUGACGAAUCGACUUUGUGAUGUACCACGAGUCAGCGGAAAAAUCAAGUUUAAGGGCACUCUCUUUUGACUCGAUCGACGUACUUACGUACGUAUACGUAUUCGCGCAACUCGAUUUGACACUAUUCGAUCGAUCUGUUCUACAUGAGUGGCGUAUUAAUUGUAAAAUUACAUGUAUUUAUGUGGAGUGGUUAAAACGCGACGAAUGUACGGAUGAGAUAAAGUUUGCUGUAAUAUAUUCAAUUGAGUCUUUGAUACGGUGUAUGAUAUCGGCCACGUUUCGUUUGCCAUACGCUUCGACACUUGCCUCCACAAAAUUGGAUAUUCUAAUAUAAAUUUUUCGUAAUGAAGGAAGAUUGAAAAAAAGUAGAGGGUUCACGUGCGUCUGUAGACACUAAGUGACGAUCAUUAAGUGACAAUCGGUGAAUUGACGAGUAUUCGCAGGUGUGCCUAGAUGCUUUUGGCAUAUUUUAUUGUUAUCGGGCUCUCGAUGGCUGCUUGUGAGAAACGAACCUGCUCUCGGCGCUCAUUUUUUCUCCGAGUCAAAAGCGUUGGAGAUAUUAAAACAAUUAUAACGACGACGUUUCGUAAAACUCUUUGAAAAAUUCGUCAGCGAGUAACAAAACGACUGGAACGAAGUGGUGAAUUCUCAGCCAGAGUUUAUUCUACCCAAAAGACUAAUUUGUUUUUAAAUUGUCUAUUCAAACUGAUGGGGAUGUUCAGCGAAGCGAGGAAAAGGCUGUUACUAUGGAACGGAGGCCUUUACAAAAGAGAUAUUCACGGCUUCUCCGUGCUUACGUCAGAUUUGAUCAUUUUCAAUAACUCGAUGAUGAAUCAAGUGUCGCUGAUCAAGCACCGAUUAACGAGCCUCAUACGCGGGCCGAAUUUUUCCUCAAUUAAUACAAUAAUCGGUUAAGAAUUAUUGAUGCAAGGAAUCCGAGGUUCAGUUACACGUACGGCCGCUUUUUUGUACUGUUUCUUCUGCGAUAGCGUUGUCUUUUGCAAUUCCAGUCAUUCAAAGCUGCUAUUCGAUAAUUCGAUCGAUUAAUAGAAAAUAUUGUCAAGCCUCGGAGUCCUAUAGAAUUCCUCAAUAGGAUCCUCCUUAUCUACAUCAUUUUAUUAAUGUUACAUCAUUUUAUUAACAUUAUAAUUAAAAUUGAAACUCUGAAUUCUGCAAUUGGCAUGAUUCGUACCAUGCGUCAGGCUCGUGUAAAAAUAUGUUCUAUGGGCCGGAUUAUUGGCCGAAAAAUCGUGAUAUAAAAACGUCGAAUUUAUUCCGAAACGAUAGAAACACGUUGAAACAGUUAGCUUUAUAAAAUUCAACAAACAAGUUGUGGAGCACGUUUCAAAUCUUAUCUCUGUCAAAUAACUUCGAGCUGGAUUCCUAUCGUUAGCUGCCACCUUUUUUCACUAGAAAAUAAAAAAAGCACGGGGAAAAAUGAAUAUUCAAUAAUUUCACUUAGAUUUAUAAACGAGCAUGUGGUUUUUAAACUUUUUCUCGAAUACGAAAAUUCGCAUUCGUGCCCCUCGUUUUUUCAAUUUGAUGGCCAAAGUGUUCGUACUCACAAAAAAGGCGUUCUGAAUUAAAAAAUUGUAAAUUCUUCAAUAAAGACGCUGGGAGCGAGUGUCUCCGAGUGAAAUUCGAGCUCUGACGUGUGAAAAUAAAUGGGUCUCGCCGUUUGGUCUCAUUUAUUCGGUAUAUGGAAGAGAAAUUAAGCAAAUUCGAGAUUGCCUUCGUCGACGUUGUCUACUUGGAUAUGAUUAUUUUAGACCAACUGUUUUAUUACAAUAAAACUGAAAGCUUUUAUUUUUC
rnacentral:lncRNA from 1 species